rnacentral:rRNA from 1 species
UUGGUUGGUUUAAGAUUGGGCUCGCCGUACCAUUAGCCCAGAUGGUGAGGUAACGCUUCACCAUUAGCAAUGAUGUUUAGGGGGUUUUGAGAGGAAGGCCCCCCACACUGGGGAUGAGACCGGGCCCAGACUCCUACGGGAGGCAGCAGUGAGGAAUAUUGGACAAUGGAUGGAAAUCUGAUCCAGCCAUGCCGCGUGCAGGAAGACGGCCUUAUGGGUUGUAAACUGCUUUUAUACGGGAGCAAUAAGGGUUACGAGUAAUCCGAUGAGAGUACUGUAUGAAUAAGGAUCGGCUAACUCCGUGCCAGCAGCCGCGGUAAUACGGAGGAUCCGAGCGUUAUCCGGAAUUAUUGGGUUUAAAGGGUGCGUAGGCGGCCAUUUAAGUCAGCGGUGAAAUUUUGCAGCUUAACUGUAACAGUGCCGUUGAUACUGUUUGGCUAGGAUUUGGUUGUAGUGUGCGGAAUGUGUGGUGUAGCGGUGAAAUGCUUAGAUAUCACACAGAACACCGAUUGCGAAGGCAGCACACUAAGUCAUUAUUGACGCUGAGGCACGAAAGUGUGGGGAUCAAACAGGAUUAGAUACCCUGGUAGUCCACACUGUAAACGAUGAUAAAUCGCUGUCGGCGAUACACAGUCGGUGGCCAAGCGAAAGC